CCAAGGUUGGCUGACUGGUAAAGCAAACGACUCAUAAUCGUUGAUAUGUCGGUUCGAUUCCGACACCUUGGA
rfam:Pseudanabaena biceps PCC 7429 scaffold_00004, whole genome shotgun sequence.